GCAGUCGAGCGGAAACGAGUUGUCUGAACCUUCGGGGAACGAUAACGGCGUCGAGCGGCGGACGGGUGAGUAAUGCCUGGGAAAUUGCCCUGAUGUGGGGGAUAACCAUUGGAAACGAUGGCUAAUACCGCAUAAUAGCUUCGGCUCAAAGAGGGGGACCUUCGGGCCUCUCGCGUCAGGAUAUGCCCAGGUGGGAUUAGCUAGUUGGUGAGGUAAUGGCUCACCAAGGCGACGAUCCCUAGCUGGUCUGAGAGGAUGAUCAGCCACACUGGAACUGAGACACGGUCCAGACUCCUACGGGAGGCAGCAGUGGGGAAUAUUGCACAAUGGGCGCAAGCCUGAUGCAGCCAUGCCGCGUGUAUGAAGAAGGCCUUCGGGUUGUAAAGUACUUUCAGCAGUGAGGAAGGUGGUAGUGUUAAUAGCACUAUCAUUUGACGUUAGCUGCAGAAGAAGCACCGGCUAACUCCGUGCCAGCAGCCGCGGUAAUACGGAGGGUGCGAGCGUUAAUCGGAAUUACUGGGCGUAAAGCGCAUGCAGGUGGUUUGUUAAGUCAGAUGUGAAAGCCCGGGGCUCAACCUCGGAAUAGCAUUUGAAACUGGCAGACUAGAGUACUGUAGAGGGGGGUAGAAUUUCAGGUGUAGCGGUGAAAUGCGUAGAGAUCUGAAGGAAUACCGGUGGCGAAAGGCGGCCCCC
rnacentral:rRNA from 1 species